GGGCGCAUAGCUCAGGGGUAGAGCGCUCGCUUUGCAUGCGAGAGGUCGUGGGUUCAAUUCCCACUGUGUCCA
rnacentral:tRNA from 1 species